AGAGGAUGUUGAACACAGAAACUUUUAAGUCGAACUGAAAUUAAAAUUCAGUUUUGCUAAGAAAUCAAUACAAUACAUAUCUCCUUGAUGUUUGUUUUGACUACUUAUGGCUAACGCAAUUCUUUCCAUAAUGCAGGUGAACACAGUGCUGAAUGUGCUGGAGCAGUGAAUGAUUCAGCAGGCCUCUAUCAGCCGCUCAACCUUCUGCGCCUCUCCCUGGACUCUGAUGUGUGCCUGGAAUUUCCUGAGCGCCUCAUCCAGCUCCAUACCUGAGAAGUCCAUUUCAUCCACCACACAGCUGGUGAGAAACACACAGUUAGCAGUGGUCUGAUGAGAGCUCAUAGCUCUCUGACAGUGAGCGGGACCGCUUGAUGGCCUCCUCCUCUGCCUGCUUGCGGAGGAUAGACUGGGAG